CUACACUCAUUGACUACACUAUCAUAGACCCUAGAAACAAACUUACUUAUCUUCAUCCUGUUGUCUGCCACUAUACUAGGAGCAUAUCUUGCUAAUUGAGUAAACUUAAGAGAAUACUCUUUCACUAUUAUGCUGCCCUGCCUGAGGUUGAUAAAUUCUAACACCUUAGCUUCCCUCAGCUCUAGGGGAAAGAAUCUAUUUGGAAAAAAGUGGCAAACUCCUUCCAUUCUAAGGGCCC
rnacentral:lncRNA from 1 species